rnacentral:rRNA from 1 species
UCGAGGGGCAUCACAUGAAGUAGCAAUACGGAUGGUGGCGACCGGCGCACGGGUGAGUAACACGUAUGCAACCUGCCUUCAACAAGGGGAUAACCCGUUGAAAGACGGACUAAUACCCUAUAACACAGGGGCCCCGCAUGGGGAUAUUUGUUAAAGAUUAAUCGGUUGAAGAUGGGCAUGCGUUCCAUUAGCUAGUUGGUGGGGUAAUGGCCCACCAAGGCAACGAUGGAUAGGGGAACUGAGAGGUUUAUCCCCCACACUGGUACUGAGACACGGACCAGACUCCUACGGGAGGCAGCAGUGAGGAAUAUUGGUCAAUGGACGCAAGUCUGAACCAGCCACGUCGCGUGAAGGAAGACGGCCCUACGGGUUGUAAACUUCUUUUGCAAGGGAAUAAAGUGAGUCACGUGUGACUUUUUGCAAGUACCUUGCGAAUAAGGAUCGGCUAACUCCGUGCCAGCAGCCGCGGUAAUACGGAGGAUCCGAGCGUUAUCCGGAUUUAUUGGGUUUAAAGGGUGCUCAGGCGGGCGAUUAAGUCGGCGGUGAAAUUUUGCGGCUCAACCGUAAAAGUGCCUUCGAAACUGGUUGCCUUGAGUGUGGAUGAGGUAGGCGGAAUUUGUGGUGUAGCGGUGAAAUGCAUAGAUAUCACGAGGAACUCCGAUUGCGCAGGCAGCUUACUAAGCCAUAACUGACGCUCAAGCACGAAGCGUGGGGAUCAAACAGGAUUAGAUACCCUGGUAGUCCACGCAGUAAACGAUGAUUACUGGCUGUUUGCGAUAUAUGUAAGCGGCUGAGCGAAAGCGUUAAGUAAUCCACCUGGGGAGU